GUCUCUCUUGAGUGGAUCCUGAGUACGACGGAGCACGUGAAAUUCCGUCGGAAUCUGGGAGGACCAUCUCCUAAGGCUAAAUACUCUCUAGUGACCGAUAGUGAACCAGUACCGUGAGGGAAAGGUGAAAAGCACCCCGGAAGGGGAGUGAAAUAGAACCUGAAACCGUGUGCUUACAAGUAGUCAGAGCCCGUUAAUGGGUGAUGGCGUGCCUUUUGUAGAAUGAACCGGCGAGUUACGAUUUGAUGCAAGGUUAAGCAGUAAAUGUGGAGCCGUAGCGAAAGCGAGUCUGAAUAGGGCGUUUAGUAUUUGGUCGUAGACCCGAAACCAGGUGAUCUACCCUUGGUCAGGUUGAAGUUCAGGUAACACUGAAUGGAGGACCGAACCGACUUACGUUGAAAAGUGAGCGGAUGAACUGAGGGUAGCGGAGAAAUUCCAAUCGAACCUGGAGAUAGCUGGUUCUCUCCGAAAUAGCUUUAGGGCUAGCCUCAAGUGAUGAUUAUUGGAGGUAGAGCACUGUUUGGACGAGGGGCCCCUCUCGGGUUACCGAAUUCAGACAAACUCCGAAUGCCAAUUAAUUUAACUUGGGAGUCAGAACAUGGGUGAUAAGGUCCGUGUUCGAAAGGGAAACAGCCCAGACCACCAGCUAAGGUCCCAAAAUAUAUGUUAAGUGGAAAAGGAUGUGGCGUUGCCCAGACAACUAGGAUGUUGGCUUAGAAGCAGCCAUCAUUUAAAGAGUGCGUAAUAGCUCACUAGUCGAGUGACACUGCGCCGAAAAUGUACCGGGGCUAAACAUAUUACCGAAGCUGUGGAUUGUCCUUUGGACAAUGGUAGGAGAGCGUUCUAAGGGCGUUGAAGCAUGAUCGUAAGGACAUGUGGAGCGCUUAGAAGUGAGAAUGCCGGUGUGAGUAGCGAAAGACGGGUGAGAAUCCCGUCCACCGAUUGACUAAGGUUUCCAGAGGAAGGCUCGUCCGCUCUGGGUUAGUCGGGUCCUAAGCUGAGGCCGACAGGCGUAGGCGAUGGAUAACAGGUUGAUAUUCCUGUACCACCUAUAAUCGUUUUAAUCGAUGGGGGGACGCAGUAGGAUAGGCGAAGCGUGCGAUUGGAUUGCACGUCUAAGCAGUAAGGCUGAGUAUUAGGCAAAUCCGGUACUCGUUAAGGCUGAGCUGUGAUGGGGAGAAGACAUUGAGUCUUCGAGUCGUUGAUUUCAC
rnacentral:rRNA from 1 species